AGGUUUCACCACCAGUUUGGGACUGGCUAUAAAGUUCAAAUUAGAAGGAACUGCUUUGAUGUUUUUCAAAGUCAAGAAAGGAUUUUACACCUCCCUGAGUAGCCCUUGACUGCAGAUAUGAUAUGGCUCAGAGAUUGUAACUUCAAGAGUUCUCAAAUGCCCCUGAGACACCCUUGGAAUCUUGACAGAAACACAGAACCUGAGUCUGCUGUCCCUGACCUGCUGAAUUCAAAUUUUCACUGUCACAAAAUCCACAGGUAAUUCUGAUGCAUUUUGAAAUAUUGGGAGCUAUGGCUAGAGAACCUUUCACUGAUACUCCUGAAUUACCUCGCCUAUGCAGUAGAGAUUUAGCUCACAGUUUUACCACCAUAUAACCAUAUUGAUCAACAUAAAAAAAUUGUCCUG
rnacentral:lncRNA from 1 species